GUGCUGGCUUCAGCAGCACAUAUACUAAAAUGGGAGUGAUACAGAAGAUUAGCAUGGCUCCCACCCAAGGAUGGGUAGUAUUUGACAGCAAAUAUUUACUUGUAA